rnacentral:rRNA from 1 species
UAAGCCCAGAUUAGGUAGUAACAACCAUUUGAGUCUGGGAUUUCUGAAUGGGGAAACCCACGUGCAUAAGCACGUAUCCUUACCUGAAUACAUAGGGUAAGGAGGCGAACCGGGGGAACUGAAACAUCUAAGUACCCCGAGGAAAAGAAAUCAACCGAGAUUCCGAAAGUAGCGGCGAGCGAAAUUGGACUAGCCCUUAAGCUUUACACGCGUUAGACGAACGGUCUGGAAAGUCCGACGAUACAGGGUGAUAGUCCCGUAGUUGACGACGUGUGUUCAGUGAAAUCGAGUAGGGCGGGACACGUGAUAUCCUGUCUGAAUAUGGGGGGACCAUCCUCCAAGGCUAAAUACUACUGACUGACCGAUAGUGAACCAGUACCGUGAGGGAAAGGCGAAAAGAACCCCUGUGAGGGGAGUGAAAUAGAACCUGAAACCGUGUACGUACAAGCAGUAGGAGCAGGCUUUGUCCUGUGACUGCGUACCUUUUGUAUAAUGGGUCAGCGACUUAUAUUCAGUGGCAAGGUUAACCAUCUAGGGGAGCCGUAGGGAAACCGAGUCUUAACUGGGCGUUCAGUCUCUGGAUAUAGACCCGAAACCAGGUGAUCUAGCCAUGGGCAGGUUGAAGGUUGAGUAACAUCAACUGGAGGACCGAACCGACUAAUGUUGAAAAAUUAGCGGAUGACUUGUGGCUAGGGGUGAAAGGCCAAUCAAACCUGGAGAUAGCUGGUUCUCCCCGAAAGCUAUUUAGGUAGCGCCUCGGACGAAUACUACUGGGGGUAGAGCACUGUUAAGGCUAGGGGGUCAUCCCGACUUACCAACCCU